rnacentral:rRNA from 1 species
AGAGUUUGAUCCUGGCUCAGGAUGAACGCUAGCGGCAGGCUUAACACAUGCAAGUCGAGGGGUAACAGGGAAGCUUGCUUCCGCUGACGACCGGCGCACGGGUGCGUAACGCGUAUAGAACCUACCUUUUACAGAGGGAUAGCCUUUAGAAAUGAAGAUUAAUACCUCAUAGUACUAUAGAUUCGCAUGAAUUUAUACUUAAAGAUUUAUCGGUAAAAGAUGGCUAUGCGUCCUAUUAGCUAGAUGGUAAGGUAACGGCUUACCAUGGCAACGAUAGGUAGGGGUCCUGAGAGGGAGAUCCCCCACACUGGUACUGAGACACGGACCAGACUCCUACGGGAGGCAGCAGUGAGGAAUAUUGGGCAAUGGAGGCAACUCUGACCCAGCCAUGCCGCGUGCAGGAAGACGGCCCUAUGGGUUGUAAACUGCUUUUAUACAGGAAGAAACCCUCGUACGAGUACGAGCUUGACGGUACUGUAAGAAUAAGGACCGGCUAACUCCGUGCCAGCAGCCGCGGUAAU